rnacentral:tRNA from 2 species
GCCUCCAUAGCUCAGGGGAUAGAGCACCGCUCUCCUAAAGCGGGUGUCGCAGGUUCAAAUCCUGCUGGGGGCACCA